ACCUCUGAAGAAUCUAGGCAGCAUAGAUUCCCUCUACAUGUUUUGCCAUUAGGACCUUUGAAAGGUCCAUGAUAGUUGUCUUGUAAAGUGUCCUAUAGUCUGGAUUUGUCUGUCACUUCUUCAUGACUACAAUCAGAUUAAACCCUUUGGCAAGAAUACAGCGUAAGUGAUAUUACAUGAUUCUCCCUCUGGCACAUCAAGAGGCAUAUUAUAUAUAAAUUCAUUUGUCCAAUAGUGGUAAUGCUGAAUUUGAUCACUUGGUUAAUGUAGCUUCUGUCAGCUCUCCUAUUUGAAGGUACACUUACUCCUUCAUAAUCAAAAAAAAAUUUUCAUGUCAAUUGCUAAUCUUUGCCUGAAUCGGUUAUUACAUAGAUGAUUGUAAAACAGUAAUUUUUCUAAUUUUGUAAGCUAGACUUUUCUGCAGAGAAGUUUUUGUCUCUGCCUCCUCAUCUUUUUUGGAAUAUCAUAAUAGAUUGAUGGAUUAAUGUUGAGCAAAUGUAUUAUGACCCUUUUACCGCUGUUAUUCAUGUUGAAGCUUGAAUUAUUCCAAGUGUAGUGUAAUCCCCCGUUCGGCCAAUUCCUGUGUCCUUUUGACAUAUUUCCACUUUUUGAGCACUUUGUUUUGUAGCUACAAAAUGUUCUAGGCACACCUUGCACUUCCCUAUCCCAGACCUGGAAUCAGGUGUAUUUCCUUGAAACCUUUGUCCUGUUCUUGGGGAGUGGUAUUAGAGACCAAGACGUAAGUGCUAGUUGUACUCACUGAUUCUAGGAUGUUAUUACUUUAGUGUCUUUCAAUGGAUCGAACUGUGAAAUACAUUUUAUUAAAAUGAGUUGAUAUUUCAUCUGAAAUUCAAAUCUUGUACCAGAGGAUUUUUCCUGUUUCCAUUGCUUAUUUGUACAUCCUCCCAGAACCCUAGUUCCCAAUAAUAUCAACAUGAUUUACUCAUUCACUGUAUCCUACAGUACAUAUAAAAUCAGUUCAUUUCACUGUCGACAACAAAAUGGCCAAGUUCAAGCUCUUUUUGCAGUUUUUGCCUUAGAACACGUACUACUACUACUACUGGUACACAACUAGAAUACUGUGCAUCCUGGAUGGUCAUGUUCCCAUUUUGAGAUGCUCUUGGGUUCAUGUGUCCAUCAGAGUCCAUCAUAACUUCAUCUUGAAUUCCCAACUUUCAUCUAUCUUUACUUUGGCUAAAUUAUCUUUCUAGGUAACUUUUUCAGGGUGAUAUAUAUUUUCUGUGACCUUGCCAUGUCUCUGAAUUUUUUCCUACUGUUUUUAUCAAUGAGUAAAGAUUUGCACCUCCUUCUCAAAUAGUUUUACUUGGUGGGUUUUUUCCUUUCCUUAAAGAUAAAUACAUUAUCUAAAAUUUCAGAAGGUCCUCCAAUUAAGAACAGAUUCACUUCCAAAUAGUUAUUUACUAGGCCAAAAGUUUGCUAGUCUGAAAUGACAGCACAUGAACAAUUGUUAACAGCAUCCAACGGUGACAAGAGAAAUUGAUGUAUUUUUGUUCAGAUGUAUUAAAAUUAUAUAACAUACAUAGCACUAAGUUUAAAUACAUGUUAUACAUUUAGAAGCAAAAUCAAAUGCAAAUUCUAGUAAUAAACCUUGAAAGGAGUGUAAGGUAAAAUUGGAUUAGGUUAAUUAUUUAGUAGCAAUUGCCAGUGUCUUUAAUAAAUUAAGCACUGAUAAACUAUUGGAGUUAGGGAGAAGGAGAGCAAAGUAAAACCAAGCCAAAUAAUUUUCCAAACAUUACAGAUAUAGUCUUGACCUUGGUUAUUAAAGAGAUGUAGGGUUAAGAUUCUUUAACUGUCAGGUCAUUGCCAAAUGCCAAUAUAAUGUGUGUGUGCUCUCUUCUUUGAGAAUAUUCAACUCUGCUAUAGCAAGCAAGUAAAAUAAAUAGGAUGAAUAAAACCUUAGAAGGCUUAAGCAUAGACAUUAAGCAAGCAGUGUAUGAGAACAGAUGAAACUUCCAGGAUGUAUUAAUUGUAGGUAAUGAGUAAGCAGGAAGCUUGAGAGACACAGAUGGCAUACACAAGAUUUAUUAAAUACAGAGGAAGUUAUUAAUCUCUAAGACAUGUUAAAAGACACACAAAAUAAAUGGAACAUAUGAUGGCACAACAAGGAUGACACUUAUAAAGGAAUGGAAAGACCAAGUAAUAAUUAUAGAUCAUGUUAACUCUCUGCUAAAAGCCAUGCCAUCUAUAAGUUGGCCAUCCAUUGGCAAUACCUAGCAUGGUCUCAUUCUGGCCCUCCAUGCACUUUGCUCAAAAAAUUCAGAUAAAAUAUAGAGUUCUGGAGGCUAAUUGGCAAAUCACAGCAGGGAUCAGGCAUAUUUGUCUGCUGCUCUCAGAUAGAGUGAGUGUGUUGACCCUGGGAACAUAUCAAUUGUUGGGCUUCUUCAGAACCAUACCAUCAGCUGGGAGGAAGGACCAGGAAUCAGGCAGUGACCCUGUUUGCACCCCAUUCUGUGUUAACCUCUCCCUUCUUUUUCUCCUUACUUCUGCUAUGUGUUUUUAAAUGACUGAGUAAACCAUGUAACUUGAGCAUUUUAAUUUAAUCUAUAAGCGUCUCUGUUCCAUGACCAUUGGGAUAGUUUGACCCUGCUUGACCAAUACCUUUUGAGCUAUUGUCACACAAGGGUAAUUUCCCAUGUGACAGCAAAAUGAAGAACAAAUGCAUUAAUCCCUGUAACUACGAUACAUCAUUUUAAAGGCAAAGUCUCAACUAAAUUCUACUUUUAAAAUCAAGUUAUUCUCUUUAUAAGAUAUACGAAUUGCCAUAGAAAGUUAAAAGUACAUGCUUGAGCAAACAAAUCAAACAAAUAUCAACAACAACAAAAAGUUGUGUAACAUGGAUGAAAAAUUUAAGUACCAGAAAGCUGAUUUCAAGAAUUCAGCAGUUCCUAAAUCCUGCAUUGUGCAUACCAAAUCUGUGAGUGAGAAAGAAGUGGAAUUGCAUUGAACAUCUCAGAAAUUACACAUAAUCUAUGGCCUGUCUUAUCCAGGCUAGCAGCAAGCAACUCUUUCCAGGGGAAGGGAUGUUUCCCUUUAAAAUGUCAUCUCUGUUGCACAGGAAAAACACAUAAGUAUUAUCCAAUUGAAUGCUAAAAGAAUCAGAGAAAUGUAAGAAUGAUUUAAUGCCAGGAAAGAAUGGCAUUAUAAAUCAUCUGGAAAAAUAAAUAAAUAGAUAAGUAAACUAGGUGAAAAUUAUAAUAGAUACAAUAAAAAGUUACUUGAUGAAAGUAUAACACUUGUAUCCCAUUUUUUAAAAAAAUUAAGAGGAGUUCCCAUCAUGGCUCAGUGGUUAAUGAAUCUGACUGGGAACUAUGAGAUUUGUGGGUUCAAUACCAGGCCUCACUCAGUGGGUUAAGGAUUAGCUUUGGCAUUACUGUGAGCUAUGGUGUAGGUUGCAGACAUGGCUCGGAUCCUACAUUGCUGUGACUGUGGCGUGGGCCAGCAGCUACAGCUCUGAUUAGACCCCUAGCCUGGGAACCUUCAGGCAGCC
rnacentral:lncRNA from 1 species